UUUUAAUGUACUGCAAUUGCUAUUAUAUUUAAGGCAUGGUUAUAUGCUUGUACAAAUUAUUUCUGUGAAGACUUUCAAGAUGUUCAAGGCGUAUUUGUUUGCAAUUGCUUUCAUAACUAUACAGGUUACAAUGACGUUGGCACAAAGGGGGCCCAGCUAUCCACUGAACCUGCCAGAACACUGCGAAAAUACAUUUUGCUUUUUACCUGCUUGUGAUGUUGAAAGAUGUACCAGAAAACCGUGGGCCCGAUGCAGAGGAUUUUGCAACGACUGCGUCGCUCGAUUCUAUAUAGGCUUCCGACAUAUGACACCAGAAUGUAAAUAACAAUUAAACAAUCAACAACUUUGAUUAAAAAAGGAGCACUUUAAAUUUAAUCAGACGCAUAAAAUCUUCCUUUCCACUUGAUCUAUUGUUGCUCGUUUCAAACAACAUCUUAGCCUGGAACGUUUUUGUAACGCAUCUGAAGUUA